CUUCGGAAAGGCAGUGGAAACUGAACAGCUAGAGUAUGGUAGGGGCAGAGGGAAUUCCUGGUGUAGCGGUGAAAUGCGUAGAGAUCAGGAAGAACAUCGGUGGCGAAGGGCUCUGCUGGACCAUAACUGACGUUGAGGCUCGAAAGCGUGGGGAGCAAACAGGAUUAGAUACCCUGGUAGUCCACGCCGUAAACGAUGUGUACUAGGUGUUGGGGAGCAAAGCUCUUCGGUGCCGUCGCAAACGCAGUAAGUACACCACCUGGGGAGUACGUUCGCAAGAAUGAAACUCAAAGGAAUUGAC
rnacentral:rRNA from 1 species